rnacentral:rRNA from 3 species
UACGGAAGGUCCGGGCGUUAUCCGGAUUUAUUGGGUUUAAAGGGAGCGCAGGCCGUCCUUUAAGCGUGCUGUGAAAUGCCGCGGCUCAACCGUGGCACUGCAGCGCGAACUGGAGGACUUGAGUACGCACGAGGUAGGCGGAAUUCGUGGUGUAGCGGUGAAAUGCUUAGAUAUCACGAAGAACUCCGAUUGCGAAGGCAGCUUACCGGAGCGCAACUGACGCUGAGGCUCGAAAGCGCGGGUAUCGAACAGG